rfam:Pelagibaca abyssi strain JLT2014, complete genome.
GUGGAGGGCCGGGCGGCCGCUGCCGGCGGAGCGAUCCGCCGGGGGAGGAAAGUCCGGACUCGCCGAAGCGCCGGUGCCGGGUAACGCCCGGGCAGGGCAACCUGACGGAGAGCGCCACAGAAAACAGACCGCCCCGGACCUGGUCCGGGGUCAGGGUGAAACGGUGGAGUAAGAGCCCACCGGGGGGCUGGCAACAGCGCCCGCAUGGCAAGCCCCACCGGGAGCAAUGCCAAAUAGGGACCUCGCGCGGGCAUGAUCCUUUCGGGGAUAUCGCCGCAGGGCGGCUUCGGCCCGAGAGGUCCGGGUUGGCAGCACGAGCCCCCGGGCGACCGGGGGCCUAGAGGAAUGGUCGCCGAUGGACGGGGCAACCCGUCCGGAACAGAAUCCGGCUUACAGGCCCUCCACGCAU